rnacentral:rRNA from 1 species
GUCGUACUGAGCUUAGAGUUUGAUCCUGGCUCAGAACGAACGCUGGCGGCAGGCUUAACACAUGCAAGUCGAGCGAUCCCUUCGGGGAUAGCGGCGGACGGGUGAGUAACGCGUGGGAACGUACCCUCUUCUGCGGGAUAGCCACUGGAAACGGUGAGUAAUACCGCAUACGCCCUUUUGGGGAAAGAUUUAUCGGAGGAGGAUCGGCCCGCGUUGGAUUAGGUAGUUGGUGGGGUAAUGGCCUACCAAGCCGACGAUCCAUAGCUGGUUUUAGAGGAUGAUCAGCCACACCGGGACUGAGACACGGCCCGGACUCCUACGGGAGGCAGCAGUGGGGAAUAUUGGACAAUGGGCGCAAGCCUGGUCCAGCCAUGCCGCGUGUGUGAAGAAGGCUUUCGGGUUGUAAAGCACUUUCAGCGGGGAAGAAGGCCUGGCGGUCAAUACCCGCCAUGAACGACAUCACCCGCAGAAGAAGCACCGGCUAACUCCGUGCCAGCAGCCGCGGUAAUACGGAGGGUGCAAGCGUUAAUCGGAAUUACUGGGCGUAAAGCGCGCGUAGGCGGCGUGUCACGCCGGGUGUGAAAGCCCCGGGCUCAACCUGGGAACGGCAUCCGGAACGGGCAGGCUAGAGUGCAGGAGAGGAAGGUAGAAUUCCCGGUGUAGCGGUGAAAUGCGUAGAGAUCGGGAGGAAUACCAGUGGCGAAGGCGGCCUUCUGGACUGACACUGACGCUGAGGUGCGAAAGCGUGGGUAGCAAACAGGAUUAGAUACCCUGGUAGUCCACGCCGUAAACGAUGUCGACUAGCCGUUGGGUCCCUUGAGGACUUAGUGGCGCAGUUAACGCGAUAAGUCGACCGCCCGGGGAGUACGGCCGCAAGGUUAAAACUCAAAUGAAUUGACGGGGGCCCGCACAAGCGGUGGAGCAUGUGGUUUAAUUCGAUGCAACGCGAAGAACCUUACCUACCCUUGACAUCCUGCGAAGCCGGAAGAGAUUCUGGUGUGCCUUCGGGAGCGCAGAGACAGGCGCUGCAUGGCUGUCGUCAGCUCGUGUUGCGAAAUGUUGGGUUAAGUCCCGUAACGAGCGCAACCCUUAUCCUUAUUUGCCAGCGGGUCAUGCCGGGAACUCUAGGGAGACUGCCGGUGACAAACCGGAGGAAGGUGGGGACGACGUCAAGUCAUCAUGGCCCUUACGGGUAGGGCUACACACGUGCUACAAUGGCCGGUACAAAGGGUUGCAAAGCCGCGAGGUGGAGCUAAUCCCGAAAAGCCGGUCUCAGUUCGGAUCGGAGUCUGCAACUCGACUCCGUGAAGUCGGAAUCGCUAGUAAUCGUGAAUCAGAAUGUCACGGUGAAUACGUUCCCGGGCCUUGUACACACCGCCCGUCACACCAUGGGAGUGGACUGCACCAGAAGUGGUUAGCUUAACCCUCGGGAGAGCGAUCACCACGGUGUGGUUCAUGACUGGGGGUGAAGUCGUAACAAGGUAACC